ACCCGAGUUUUGGUUACCCAUUGUCAUGGAUGUUCAUGGGCACACGGCCACCACACCGCGGCGCGUGGCCAGCGCAGCGAAUCCAUCCCCAUCCUCAUGAUUAUAAAUAAAUAAUAAUUUUACACGCCCCCUUCUCUCUCGAUUUCUCGCGGAGCGGCCCUCCACCUUUAUCGCCGCCGCCGCCGUUGCUGUGUUCCGUCUCUUCGCCGAUGGCUUCGGCCAAGUUCGGUGCUGCCCAGCAGGUGGAGAACCGAGGCGCGCUGUCCAAAAGGUCACGUAACGACGGUGAGGCACUUCCCCACUCUGAUCUGUUGUUCGCUCGCUUGUUAGACCGGGAGUUAGGGUUUAGUCAAGUUGCAAACGGGAGAUCUUCUCGUGCAGGAUUUGCUCUUUUUUGUUUAGGAAUUAGCGAUUGAUCAAUCGCAAGGCCAGCUGAGGCAUAAUUGAGAGACAGGAGCGGCUCUAAUAGAUGCCAUUAGGAGAAUGUGCGCUAAAGCUGACAUAGGUUCACCAGAGUCUUUUGUAAGGAGUUCGUCUCCUUUGUAAGGAGACAAUGAGUUCGGGGAAAUCGACUAUGUUUCACUCUUCUACUGAAUUGUUGUUGUUUUUUUGUUAGCUUUAGGCACUUCAUGGUGGCAGUGGGUCGUCGUUACCAUUUUAGGGCUUGUUCGGUUAGCUCUCAAUCCAUAUGGAUUGAGUGGGAUUGGGUGGGUUUAAAUUCCAACUAAGUCAAACUCUUUCUUAAUUUUUUCCAAUCUCAUCCAAUCCAUAGGUAACGGGAUUAACCGAACAAGGCCUUAGUCUAUCCGAGUCCUCAUGGAUAACAAUUUUUAGUUCUAUAAGGGGAUAUUUCAUACUACCAUGCCUUUUAUCUAAUUUGAUUCUGAUUAGUACCUUGUUAGUUACACUCGUGGUUAAUCUUAUGCCUGUCUAAAGUACUUGCUGGAGUUUGAGAGGCCGUCACGUGAAGGCGGAAGGAUGAUUUUGUAAAGCUAUGUGACACAAUAAAAUAGCUUCUUUCUUUGUGCAGAGUUCAUGGAUGUAUAAUGUAUUCAUUG
rnacentral:lncRNA from 1 species